UGUUUUUGGUGUUUGCUGCAGCCGCUGCGGCUUGAUUUUUUUUAAAUUAAAAACAGGAUAGAUAUCCGUGUAAAUUAAUUAUAAAUAAAAUAAACUGGGGCAUGACCAGAUAGUGAAAACUCCCUUGUGUACCAUGGACAAACGGUACCCCGCAAGUCGCAAUCACGGAAUUCCGGAACAUCGAUAGAUGAGACGCCGCCCAGCCAGCAGUGGAAUAAAAUAAAAUGGUCAAUACUCGCAUUGAGCAGCUUCAUCGUUUGGAAUUCCCGAUAUGAUAAUCCGAUUUACAAAAAAGCCCAUCAGAUAAAAAACCGGAUGUCGAUCCGAGUUUUGACUAAACGAUGGGAACAAAUUUGCCAAGGACUCUCAUAGGGAUGGAACAAAAACAGGAUAGUCGAAACGGAAUAAAAACAACGAGCGGUUGUUUUGCAGCAGAAAGGAACGCUAAAUGUAACGAAAAGUUGCGGUUUCGAAGCUCCUCCGAAUGCUGAAGCCUUCCGUGCCACUCUGUUUAACAUCACUCCAGCGAAGGUAAUCCGGAAGUGAGCCAUGCAGGGAAAUUGCCCAAUAUCAACUCGCCCAAUCUGCGGAAAGUUCUGCCGUAUACCACGAACCACAAGGAUGAUACAGCACCUGCUGACGAUGACGAAAACGUGGAGGAACUUACCAACCCCAGCUUAUGAGACACGGCUUUUUUAAAACUGAACAAAAUGAAUCAGUUCACCGGUUCAAGAUGUAUCGCCAUUGCAGGAGAUCCGACCUUUGAAGGCGACGGGAUACAGGGCAAACGCCUUCAUGACAGAUCAGCAUAUAGUGAGAAAAUGAUUAAAUUUAUUAUGCCGACAUGAUGUAUUAAAUAUACAAAUCCUUUUAAAAAACUAGGCUUACAACUUAUUGAAGUAAGAAAACAAGAAACAACUCAAUGAAACAAAUGUCAUGUACAU